UAGCCUAUCGUCUUCCCGUAUUCCCGUAUGAACCUGGGCCGCCCGCGUGGCAGGCGAGCAUUCUACCACUGAACCACCGAUGCU